rnacentral:rRNA from 1 species
ACUCAAAUGAAUUGACGGGGGCCCGCACAAGCGGUGGAGCAUGUGGUUUAAUUCGACGCAACGCGAAGAACCUUACCUGGGCUCGAAAUGUAGUGGACUGCGGUAGAAAUAUCGCUUCCUAGCAAUAGGCCGCUAUAUAGGUGCUGCAUGGCUGUCGUCAGCUCGUGUCGUGAGAUGUUGGGUUAAGUCCCGCAACGAGCGCAACCCUUAUUACCAGUUGCUACCAUUUAGUUGAGCACUCUGGUGAGACCGCCUCGGAUAACGGGGAGGAAGGCGGGGAUGACGUCAAGUCCUCAUGGCCUUUAUGUCCAGGGCUACACACGUGCUACAAUGGCCGGUACAAACCGUCGCAAACCCGUGAGGGGGAGCUAAUCGGAAAAAGCCGGCCUCAGUUCGGAUUGGAGUCUGCAACUCGACUCCAUGAAGCUGGAAUCGCUAGUAAUCGCAGAUCAGAAUGCUGCGGUGAAUACGUUCCCGGGCCUUGUACACACCGCCCGU